UACGGAGGGUGCAAGCGUUGCUCGGAAUUAUUGGGCGUAAAGGGUAGGUAGGUGGUCUCAUUUGUCUGGGGUGAAAUCCUUGAGCUUAACUCAAGAACUGCCCUAGAAACGGUGAGACUGGAGUCCUGGAGAGGUUCGUGGAAUUCCCGGUGUAGCGGUGAAAUGCGUAGAGAUCGGGAGGAACACCAGAGGCGAAGGCGGCGAACUGGACAGGUACUGACACUGAACUACGAAAGCGUGGGGAGCAAACAGG
rnacentral:rRNA from 1 species